rnacentral:rRNA from 1 species
GACGAACCGUGCGAACGUUGUUCGGAAUCACUGGGCUUAAAGGGCGCGUAGGCGGGCCUCCAAGUCCGGGGUGAAAUCCUCCAGCCUAACUGGAGAAGAGCCUCGGAGACUGGGGGCCUCGAGGAGGGUAGGGGCAAGCGGAACUAUGGGUGGAGCGGUGAAAUGCAUUGAUAUCCAUAGGAACUCCGGUGGCGAAGGCGGCUUGCUGGACCCUUUCUGACGCUGAGGCGCGAAAGCCAGGGGAGCAAACAGG